ACCUUUCAUUGAUGAAAUUUGUUAUCCCUGUCUGAGAAAUUUCAAAUAUGCGGAUAAUUUGUAUAUUCUGAGACUGGU